UCAACACUGAACUGUGGGGUCUGGUGCGCGUUGGCUAACAUGUCGGAAAUCAAAGCUGUGGUUAAGCCGGCGAAUCAGAGCGAUCAUCUCGUGAGCUUCUUGUACUGCACCACCACUAGCCUCAUCACUCAUCUCAUCAGUCAUCACUCACCUCCCGCACCGAGCCACCGACGCGACCCAGGAAAAGCAACGACAACGUCUCCAAAAGCUGCAGGCUGCAGCUCCUGAGGGCCGCAGGCCGCACCGGAGAGGCCGAGAGGGCAGGCGGACGCGGACGCGCGUGCGGGAAGGCGUGAGCAAUGGCCGGUACGGCGGCAAUAGCCUCCUUAGCCGCGGUGGCGGGAGCAUGGCUCGACCUUGACGGGUCGACGACCCUGCUUCCGCGCCGGUUGCUUCCGUCGUCAGGCGGCGAGGCGCUGCGGGCCGCGUGGGACGCGGCGCGCGCGGCGGCAGUGGCGCCGGCGCUGGCCGCCGCGUCGUGGGUCUGCCUGGCCCUGUCGGCCAUGCUCCUCGCCGACGCCGUGUUCCUGGCCGCCGCCAGCCUUCUGCCCCGGCGGGCGCCGUGCCCCAUUGCCGGCCCCACCGCCGAGGUGGACGGGGACGAGGAGGAGGCCGGCUGCAGCGUCGGCUACCCCAUGGUGCUCGUCCAAAUCCCCAUGUACAACGAACGGGAGGUGUACAAGCUAUCCAUUGAAGCAGCAUGCGGGAUGUGGUGGCCGUCGGAUAGGGUGAUCGUACAGGUUCUCGACGAUUCCACGGAUCCGACGGUUAAGGAUUUGGUGGAGCUUGAAUGCAAGUUUUGGGCUAACAAUGGAAAGAACGUAAAAUAUGAGGUGAGGAACAAUCGGACAGGCUACAAGGCGGGUGCGCUGAAACAAGGGAUGCUCUACGAGUAUGUUCAACAGUGUGAUUUUGUCGCUGUGUUUGAUGCUGAUUUCCAACCAGAACCUGACUUCCUCGUGAGGACCGUCCCAUAUCUUGUUCAUAAUCCACGAAUUGCUCUUGUUCAAGCACGGUGGGAAUUUGUUAAUCCCAAAGAAUUCCUGAUGACAAGGAUACAAAAGAUGACAUUAGAUUAUCACUUCAAAGUAGAGCAGGAAGCAGGUUCAUCCACCUUUGGCUUCUUUGGUUUUAACGGAACUGCUGGUGUCUGGAGAACUUCUUCUAUCAAGGAAGCUGGGGGCUGGGAGGAUCGAACCACUGUGGAAGACAUGGAUUUAGCAGUCAGAGCAGGUCUGAAAGGAUGGAAAUUCAUCUAUGUUGGGGAUGUUAAGGUAAAAAGUGAACUGCCAAGCAAUCUGAAGGCAUAUCGCCGCCAACAACAUCGGUGGACAUGUGGGGCAGCAAAUUUAUUCCGGAAGAUGGGAGCGGAAAUUAUUCUGACUAAGGAGGUGUCGCUGUGGAGGAAGCUGUAUCUGAUCUACAGCUUCUUUUUCAUUAGGAAGGUUGUCGCCCAUGUGGUACCUUUCAUGCUCUACUGCGUAAUAAUUCCUUUGUCUGUGCUGAUUCCUGAGGUCACUGUCCCUGUAUGGGGGGUGGUUUACAUCCCAACAACAAUAACACUUCUUUACGCCAUCAGAAAUCCAAGUUCUAUCCACUUCAUACCAUUCUGGAUCCUUUUUGAGAACGUGAUGUCUUUUCACCGAACGAAGGCGACAUUCAUCGGCUUGCUCGAGCUCGGGAAUGUAAACGAGUGGGUUGUCACGGAGAAGCUUGGUAGAACCAAGCCUGUGCCACAAAUGCUUGAAAAGCCUCGCUGCAGGUUUUGGGACAGGUGGCCUGCUGGGCGUUUUGUUUCCCCAUUGUUCCUAAGAAACUUUCAUCAAGUUUUAGCUGCUGGAGCUGACUCUAAUGCGUGCACCUGUUUGCAUGCUCCUUGCAGGUGCACCAUAUCAGAGAUUUUAGUUGCCAUCUUCCUCUUCUUCUGUGCCACAUACAACUUGGUUUUAGGAGACGACUUCUAUUUCGUUUACAUAUAUUUACAGGAAAUAGCAUUUCUUAUUGUUGGCACCGGUUUCUGCGGUACAUAACAGCUAGGAGUAGGACUGGUCCGACAGAAAAAAUUGCUCAAGUUAGGUCAUGAACUUCGAUCACCUCCUAGGUUGCUUCUACAGCUGAGAGGUUCUCAAUGCGGGGUCACGUAGCUCACCAUUCACAGUAAAGGAUGCGUAGCGAGCUGUUUAUUAGGAGCUAGCUUGGUCGUCAUUUUCAUGUUUAAGUUAUUGUAAUCUUUGUGCUGUUGAGUAUGAGAUCUGGCACCUGGACGGUCCGCACCCCCAAACGGUCUGCGAGCAGGUUAAUUCGAGCUAAAGUCUUGAUCUCUUGCAGGGUUAUCCUAAUAUCUCAUGAGAUUUUGUUGGAUUCCAUUUAUGAACGGGUUAAAACCUCCCUCUCUAUAUAAAGAGGGUCCCUUCCGAAAGGUGAGAUCUAGGUUCUACACGAAGCCCUCUACACGCAUAACGGACAGUCCACCGCGCGCCUACACGUAACACGUGGACGGUCCGUGCUGCUGCAGAGAGGACUCCAAGUAGGGGCGGACCCAAGAGGGCUCUAGGUGGACCAUGGCACACCCUAAGCCAGGCCCACCAAAACCACACCUCGGCCACAUUUGCUUGAGAAUCCAUACUCACCCACAACGUCGACACGACGCCAAACUCCCAUGGAGGCACCAUGACCAAACGAGCUCCCGCCCACGAGUGUGCCUCAGUGAAAGGGAAAUGUGCCCUUGGGCCAUUUCUAUAAAUGUUUUGGUGAUUAGAUGCCCAACACAUAUUGUUUUAGUUCAUAUGUGCUAAGUGGUUGAGAAGUGCAAAUCAAGAAUCAAGGUAUGUUUCUAGCCCUAGUAAAUUGUUUUUGAUACUAACAUAUCUCUCUAAGUGCUAGGGACACUGCCAAGAAAAGUGGAAAUGAAUUGGAGAAGUUUUGGCUGAGUUCGGCCAAACCAGCACCAGCCUGUGGUGCACCGGACAGUGUCCGGUGCCCAGACUGGCCCAGGAACGAACUCGUCGCUCUCGGGAAAAAGCGAAGGCGCCACGGCUAAAAAUCACCGGACUGUCCGGUGUGCACCGGACUGUCCGGUGAGUCAACGGCGCCCGCGGCCAACGGUCGGCAGCGCAAUCAGCGGGCGACGCGUGGCCCGCGCCAACGGUCAGAUGGUCACACCGGACUGUCCGGUGUGCACCGGACGGUGUCCGGUGCGCCAACGGAACCGAAGGUCCAACAGUCGGGUGCGCCCGAUAAGGAAGGAGAUCGGGCACCAGACAACUACUGUUCAUGUCCGGUGGUCCGGUGCACCACCCGACAGAAGGCAAGAAUUGCCUUCCAAUUGGAUCUCCAACGGCUUCUAGCUGCCUUGGGGCUAUAAAAGGGACCCCUAGGCGCAUGGAGCAGUACACCAAGCAUUCUCUAAACAUUCUAAGACGCCUAGACUUCGCCACCACGCACUCGGAUCAUCGUGUUAGAGAUUUGAGCACUGUUUGAGUUGUAAACUCCCUGCGCCGUGUUUUGUGCUCACGCCUUGGCUUGUGUGCGUGUGUUUGCUGCGAUUCUAGCUUUGUGUGUGUUGCUUUCCCUCCCUUACUCUUGUGCUUUUCUUGUGAUCAAACAUUGUAAGGGUGAGAGGCUCUAACUUGUGGAGAUUCCUCGCAAACGGGAAAAGACUGCUAAGGAAGAAAACUGUGGUAUUCAAAGUUGAUCAUUGGAUCACUUGAGAGGGAUUGAGUGCAAUCCUUGACAGAAGGAGGUCACCACAACGUGGAGUAGGCAUUGGCUGAACCACAGGAUAAAAAUCAUUGUGUCUCGUGUCCCUAUUCAUUGUGAUUGAUUUUCUUGUAGAGUUCUAACUUUAGCAACUUGAUUUUAAUUGCACUAACACUAAUAAACCAAGUUUGGGCUAUUUAGUAUUGAAUUUUAUAGGAUCACCUAUUCACCCCCCUUUAGGUGCUCUCAAUUGGUAUCAGAGCCGUACUCUUCAUCUAAGGGACUAACCGCCCGAAGAGAUGGAUCCUAAGGGCAAGGGGAUGGUGAUCAACGACAAGGAGGAGUCCCUCUUCAACGAGCCAAGAGACGACAAGCCCACUGACUCAUGCUCGAGUCACAAGGAAAGAGACGGGAAGAAGAAGAGGCGCAUCAAAAAGAUUAUCUACUACGACAGCGAUGCCUCAUCUUCUUCACCAUGGGAUAACUACUCCCCGUCCAAAAAUAAAACGGUUAAUCAAAACUACUCCUUUGAUUAUUCCCGCAUUCCUUACAAUUCAAAUGCUCAUUUACUCUCUAUUCCACUUGGAAAACCCCCACACUUCGAUGGAGAGGAUUACUCAUUUUGGAGCCAUAAAAUGUGUAGUCACAUAUUUUCCCUCCAUCCUAGCAUUUGGGAAAUUGUAGAAAAUGGGAUGCAUUUUGAUAGUACUGAGAACCCUAUGUUUAUCAAUGAACAAAUUCAUAAAAAUGCCCAAGCCACCACUGUUUUGCUAGCAUCUCUAUGCAUGGAUGAAUAUAACAAGGUCAGAGGCUUGGACAACACCAAACAGAUAUGGGACAUCCUCAAAAUUUCUCACAAGGGAAAUGAUGCCACCAUGAUCACUAAAAUGGAACUGGUGGAAUGUGAGCUGGGGAGAUUCGCGAUGAUAAGGGGAGAAGAGCCAACACAGACAUACAACAGGCUCAAAGCCCUUGUCAACAAAAUUCGAAGCUACGGGAGCACAAGAUGGACAGAUCAUGAUGUUGUCCGACUCAUGCUCAGGUCAUUUAUAGUUAUCACUACAGGAAACACAUAAAUUUUCAUGGACCGAAUUAUUUUCGUUGGCCGGCCCACGAAAAUACGGAUGUUAUUUUCGUCGGCCUCGUGACCGACGAAAAUGUGUCGUAUUUUCGUGGGCCGGGGAAUAUUUUCGUGGGCAGGCCCACGAGAAUAGGGAAGUUAUUUUCGUCGGCCUCUGGACCAACGACAAUGUGGCGUAGUUUCGUCGGCCUCAACCCGGCCGACGAAAAUAAGUCAUUGACCGACCACUAUUUUCGUCGGCCUCACUGAGGCCGACGAAAAUAGUGUCCCUAAAUCGUCCAUCCCGGCCUCAGCCCGCACCUUCUCGCUCGCGCCCCGCCUGCCCUAAAUCGUCCCAAUCCCGCCGCGCCGCCGCCGCACUCGCGCCCCGCCGUUCUCUCAUGCAAGCUCGGCGAGCUCCGUCGCGCGCGCCCGCCGUUCUCUCGCGCCCCGUGGCCGCCGUUCUCUCACGCAAGCUCGGUGAGCUCCGUCGCGCGUGCCCGCCGUUCUCUCACGCAAGCUCGGCGAGCUCCGACGCGCGCGCCCGCCGUCCGUCCACGCCACCCUCGUUCCCCGCAGUGAGCCUCCCCGUCUCCCUUCUUCCACGCCUGUAAAUCUUAUUCGUGAGAACCCUAGGUACACAAAGAUGACGCCCGAAGAAAUCAUCGGAAAAUUCGUGAGCGGGCGCAUGAUGGUGAAAGAAGCACGAUAUGUGGAUGAUGCCUUGAAUGGUCCACUUCCCGUCUACGAGUCGCAGCCCGUUGCCCUCAAAGCAACUAGCAGCAAGAAGGCGCUACCUAGCAAGGUAGCACAAGUGGAGGCUGCUGGACUCAAUGAGGAUGAGAUGGCACUCAUCAUCAAACGAUUCAAGACCGUCUUGAAGGGAUGCAAGGAGUACCCCAACAAGAACAAGUCAAAGGAAAAAUGCUCCUGCUUCAAAUGCGGUAAGACUGGUCACUUUAUUGCAUAAUGCCCCGAUAACGAUAAUGACCAGGCACAAGAGAAGCAUGUGAAGAGGGAAAAGAAAAAACUACAGGAAGGCCAAAGGCGAGGCGCACAUCGGGAAGGAAUGAGACUCCGACUGUUCCUCAUCUGACUCUGAAGAUGAAGGACUAGAUGCCUCGGCCUUCAACAAAUCUCCGCUCUUCCCCAACGAACGCCAUACGUGCCUUAUGGCUAAGGAGAAGAAGGUAUGUAUUCGAGACACUCCCAAAUAUACUUCUUCUAGUGAUGAAGAAUCGUCUAAUGAUGAAGUAGAUUAUACUAAUUUGUUUAAGGGAUUAGAUAGAACUAAGGUAGACAAAAUAAAUGAAUUAAUUGAUGCUCUUAAUGAAAAGGAUAGAUUGCUAGAAAAGCAAGAAGAUAUUUUGUAUGAAGAACAUGAUAAAUUCAUUAGUGCUCAAAAAUCUCUUGCUCUAGAAGUCAAGAAAAAUGUAAUAAUAUCCUUUGAAUUGUCUACCUGUCAUGAAUCUAUCUCUAGUCUAAAGAAUUUAAAUGAUGAUUUGAAUGUUAAGCUAGAGAAAGUUAAUAUAACUAGUUCAUGUGUAGAGCAUGUUGCUAUUUGCAAUAGAUGUAAAGACUUUGAUGUUGAUGCUUGUAAUGAACAUGUUUCUACUAUUGCUAAGUUAAAUAAUGAUGUUGCAAGCCUUAAUGCUCAACUUAAGACUUGCAAAGAAAGUUAUGAAAAACUAAAAUUUGCUAGGGAUGCCUACACCAUUGGUAGACACCCCUCAAUUAAGUAUGGACUUGGUUUCCGAACGGAAACCAAGAACUUAACAAGCCAAAGGACCUCCAGUCUCAACAAGGAGAAAGGAAAGGCUCCUUGGCUAGUAGUUUUCAAAAGAACCAUGCCUAUCUUUAUGAUAAGAAAUUUACUAGUCAUGCUCAUAAUGAUAGGUGCUAUGAUAAUAUUGGUUCUCAUAUUGAUGCAUUUAAUCUUCAUGCUAUGGUUGCAUCUAACUCUACAUAUGCUUAUGAUAGAAAAAGGCCUAGGCGUAAUCAUGUUGUGUCUCAUGUGUCUAGGAAAGCAUGCACUGGUCCUACUACUGUUUACAAUACAUGUAAUGCUUCUUUUGUACUCUCAUGCAAAAAUGCAAAAGUAGUUGCUAGAAAAUUGGGAUCUAAAUGCAAGGGAGACAAGACUUGUAUUUAGGUUCCAAAAGUUGUUGUAACUAACCUUGUAGGACCCAACAAGAGUUGGGUACCUAAAACCCAAGCUUAAAUACCUUGCAGGUUUAUGCAUCCGGGGGCUCAAGCUGGAUUAUUGACAGCGGAUGCACAUGCACUAACCACAUGACGGGGAAAAAGAAAAUGUUCACCUCCUACGUCAAGAACAGGGAUUCCCAAUACACCAUCAUUUUUGGAGAUGGGAAUCAAGGCAAGGUUAAAGGAUUGGGCAAGAUAGCCAUCACGACCGAGCACUCAGUAUCAAAUGUGUUUUUAGUAUAGUCACUCGGGUAUAAUUUAUUGUCUGUAAGUCAAUUGUGUCAUAUGGGCUACAAUUGUUUAUUUACAAAUAUUGAUGUAUAUGUCUUUAGAAGGAGUGAUGGUUCAUUAGCUUUUAAGGGUGUAUUAGACGACAAGCUCUAUUUAGUUGAUUUCUUAAAGGAGAAUGCCUAUCUAGAUGUAUGCUUAAUCGCUAAAACUAAUAUGGGCUGGCUUUGGUA